rnacentral:rRNA from 1 species
GUGAACAACUAAGGGCGCGCGGUGGAUGCCUAGGCUCUCGGAGGCGAAGAAGGACGCGAUAAGCCGCGAUAGUCCACGGCGAGGUGCAAGUAACCCUUGACCCGUGGGUUUCCGAAUGGGGCAACCCGGCCGUCUAGAUGACGGUCAUGCAUUAUCAUGCAGGCGAACGCGGGGAACUGAAACAUCUCAUUACCCGCAGGAGAAGAAAACAAAAUGUGAUUCCCCCAGUAGUGGCGAGCGAACGGGGAAGAGCCCAAACCGGUAGCGUUUCGGCGAUACCGGGGUCAUGGGACCACGCCAUUCGAAACAAGAUGAAGUGCAAUUACCUGGAAAGGUAAGCCGCGGAGGGUGAUAGCCCCGUGCACGUCAAUUCUUGUGGAGAUAGUGGAAUCCCGAGUAGGGCGGGACACGAGAAAUCCUGCCUGAAUUCGCCAGGACCUCCUGGCAAGGCUAAAUACUCCCGAGAGACCGAUAGUGAACCAGUACCGCGAGGGAAAGGUGAAAAGUACCCCGAGCAGGGGGGUGAAAUAGACCCUGAACCCGCGCGCCUACAAGCGGUCGGAGCUGCCUUGUGCAGUGACGGCGUGCCUUUUGCAUAAUGAGCCUACGAGUUAGUCGUCACCAGCGAGGUUAAGGGCUUCAGGCCCGUAAGCCGAAGUGAAAGCGAGCCUUAACAGGGCGUCAAGUUGGUGGCGCUAGACGCGAAACCUUGUGAUCUACCCACGAGCAGGUUGAAGUCGCGGUAACACGUGAUGGAGGACCGAACCGGUAAACGUUGAAAAGUUUUCGGAUGACUCGCGGGUAGGGGUGAAAGGCCAAUCAAACUGGGAAAUAGCUCGUACUCUCCGAAAUGCAUUUCGGUGCAGCCUGUGAUGUUCUGUUCCAGAGGUAGAGCUACUGGUUGGACGCGAGGGCUUCACCGCCUAUCAAAUCCGGAUAAACUCCGAAUGCUGGAACACGAAAUCAUGGAGUGAGCCCGCGGGUGCUAAGGUCCGCGGACGAGAGGGAAAGAACCCGGACCACCGGCUAAGGUCCCGGAUGGACAGUUAAGUUGAUCAAACGAGGUGGGAUCGCUGAGACAGCUAGGAUGUUGGCUUGGAAGCAGCCAUUCAUUUAAAGAGUGCGUAACAGCUCACUAGUCGAGCGAUCCCGCGUGGAUAAUACACGGGCAUCAAACUGUCAACCGAAGCCGUGGGGUCAGCGAAAAGCUGACCGGUAGGAGAGCAUUCCUGCCAGCGUUGAAGGUCACCCGCGAGAGUGACUGGAGCGGCAUGAAAAGCAAAUGUAGGCAUAAGUAACGAUAAUGGGGGCGAGAACCCCCCACGCCGCAAGACCAAGGCUUCCCCGGCAAUGUCAAUCAGCCGGGGGUCAGCCGGCCUCUAAGGCUAACCCGAAGGGGGAUGCCGACGAGAAACGGGUUAACAUUCCCGUGCUUCUCGUCACCGUGACGCGGUGACGGGGUGAUGAAUGGACCGCGCGCUGACGGAAUAGCGCGUUGAAGGCCGUACCCUUCGAGGGUGGUAGUCAAGCACGCCACCCGAGGCGAUAGCCGAUAGUACCACGAGACUCCGGUCGAGUGGAUAGCGUCCAGGCAAUUUACCCCCGAGAAAACCCGCUAAACUUCAAGUGACGAGGAACCGUACUGUAAACGGACACACGUGGUCGGGUAGAACAUACCAAGGCGCUCGAGUGAUUCAUGGUCAAGGAACUAGGCAAAAUAGUCCUGUAACUUCGGGAAAAAGGACGCUCUAGUGAUAGAGCCGCAGAGUAAUGGCCCAGGCGACUGUUUACCAAAAACACAUGGCUAUGCCAAAUCGAAAGAUGACGUAUAUGGCCUGACACCUGCCCGGUGCCGGAAGGUUAAGAGGAGAGCUCAUCGGAAACGAGAAGGUUUGAAUUGAAGCCCCGGUAAACGGCGGCCGUAACUAUAACGGUCCUAAGGUAGCGAAAUUCCUUGUCGGGUAAGUUCCGACCUGCACGAAUGG